rnacentral:rRNA from 1 species
AUUGAACGCUGGCGGCAGGCCUAACACAUGCAAGUCGAGCGGAGCGGCGGACGGGCGAGUAAUGCCUAGGAAUCUGCCUGGUCGUGGGGGAUAACGUCCGGCAACGGGCGCUAAUACCGCAUACUCUCAGAUGAGCCUAGGUCGGAUUAGCUAGUUGGUGGGGUAAAGGCCUACCAAGGCGACGAUCCGUAACUGGCCUGGGAGGAGGAUCAGUCACACUGGAACUGAGACAGGGGCCAGACGCCAACGGGGGGCAGCAGGGGGGAAUAUGGCACAGUGGGGGAAACCCUGAGGCAGAAGCGCCGGGUGCGGAAUGACGGCCUUCGGGUUGGAAACCGCGUUCAGCCAUGACGCGGUAGUGGCAGAAGAAGCACCGGCUAACUACGUGCCAGCAGCCGCGGUAAUAC